GAGAGCAUGCAACAUGCAUUGGCUAUCUCCACCGCCCACACUCUCUAUAAAUAAGCUCCCAUCUCUCUCAUUUUCGCACAAGAAGCAAAGGGGUAAGGUGAAAAUUGAGAGAGAAUUUUCUUGAGAGAAAGAAGAAGAAGUGGCGAGUUGUUGAAGAAAGGAGAAGAGAGUGCAAGACAAGACUAUCGACCAAGUGUUGAAACGAUAAGGACAAUCGUUUUCAUUCAAGUGCAAGUUCCGAGUGUGCCGUGGGAGAAGCUCAUCAACCAAGGCCGAUCAUCGCCGGUUAUACAGUAACCCUAGAGAGAACUAGAGGGCGUGGUGAACGAUAGGAAAGCCGGAGUAGAUUUGUAUUUGUGUCUAUUGUAAAAUACAAGUAUGUUUUUCGUUUGUAACAAACUUUGGCUAUGGGCCGUGUUUUAAAACUUUAUGACCUUUUGUUUAAAUCGGUUAUAAAGAACUCCUUAAUUAAAUCAAAGUAUUCGGUUUUAUGUUAAA